UACGAAGGGGGCUAGCGUUGCUCGGAAUCACUGGGCGUAAAGCGCACGUAGGCGGCCUGUUAAGUCGAACGUGAAAUCCCCGGGCUCAACCCGGGAACUGCGUCCGAUACUGGCAGGCUUGAAUCCGGGAGAGGGAUGCGGAAUUCCAGGUGUAGCGGUGAAAUGCGUAGAUAUCUGGAGGAACACCGGUGGCGAAGGCGGCAUCCUGGACCGGCAUUGACGCUGAGGCGCGAAAGCCAGGGGAGCAAAGCGG
rnacentral:rRNA from 1 species